AUGAUCACAUUAGCAGCACAUACACUAAAAUCAGAAUGAUACAGAAAAGAUUAACAUGGCCCCUGAACAAAGAUGACAUGUAAACUCGCGGAGCAUUCCAUAUUUUG